UUUUCUUCUGGUGCCAUGCUCCUCUCUGCAGCUAUAGAGCUUCUGGAAAGCCUGGAGGAAUUGACACUCCUGUUCACCAUGUCAUGUUCAGGGCACAGGGUGUGAAAGAAGAGGGGCUCACUCUCUCUGCCCCCUGCUUCAAUCACUUCCUAUCUGACAUGAGCAGCAGAAGUGCUAUAACCAGCCACAGGUACACCUCAGCUGACAGAUGGACAAGGCGGCAGUUAACCAAUGAAUAAGCCGAGAUACCUGUGGCCCAUGAGGG